AUUGAACGCUGGCGGCAGGCCUAACACAUGCAAGUCGAACGAGUGGCGGACGGGUGAGUAAUGUAUGGGAAACUGCCCGAUGGAGGGGGAUAACUACUGGAAACGGUAGCUAAUACCGCAUACCAUCGGAUUGGCCCAGAUGGGAUUAGCUAGUCGGUGGGGUAAUGGCUCACCUAGGCGACGAUCCCUAGCUGGUCUGAGAGGAUGACCACCCACACUGGAACUGAGACACGGCCCAGACUCCUACCAUGAUCAGCAGGUAAUAAUAUUGCACAAUGGGCGCAAGCCUGAUCCAGCCAUGCCGCGUGUAUGAAGAAGGCCUUCGGGUUGUAAAGUACUUUCAGCGGGGAGGCGUUACCCGCAGAAGAAGCACCGGCUAACUCCGUGCCAGCAGCCGCGGUAAUAC
rnacentral:rRNA from 1 species